AGAGUUUGAUCCUGGCUCAGAUUGAACGCUGGCGGCAGGCUUAACACAUGCAAGUCGAGCGGGGAAGUAUAGCUCGCUAUACGACCUAGCGGCGGACGGGUGAGUAAUGCUUAGGAAUCUGCCUAUUAGUGGGGGACAACAUUCCGAAAGGAAUGCUAAUACCGCAUACGCCCUACGGGGGAAAGCAGGGGAUCUUCGGACCUUGCGCUAAUAGAUGAGCCUAAGUCAGAUUAGCUAGUUGGUGGGGUAAAGGCCUACCAAGGCGACGAUCUGUAGCGGGUCUGAGAGGAUGAUCCGCCACACUGGGACUGAGACACGGCCCAGACUCCUACGGGAGGCAGCAGUGGGGAAUAUUGGACAAUGGGCGAAAGCCUGAUCCAGCCAUGCCGCGUGUGUGAAGAAGGCCUUUUGGUUGUAAAGCACUUUAAGCGAGGAGGAGGCUACUUGGAUUAAUACUCUAGGAUAGUGGACGUUACUCGCAGAAUAAGCACCGGCUAACUCUGUGCCAGCAGCCGCGGUAAUA
rnacentral:rRNA from 1 species